CUGGGCUGCAGCCAGCCUGGAUCCUCCUCUGCCAUCAGCUCUCCAGGGCAGGAUUCCAGCUUUCCCACGGAGCCCAAUUAAAAUCAGCCAGAGCUGCCCACACGGCUCAAGGCUUGGGGCUCCAGCCAACUGUGUGCCGGCACUUACCUUGGAAGUUGGUUUUGGACACCUGGAGUCUUGCAUCCACGAAGAGCUCGCAGGUGCCACUGAAGAGGCCGUAGGUGAGGCUGAUGGUGACGUUGGAGCCGGCGCGCGAGAACCGAACCUCGCUGCUCACCCACUGCGGCGUGGCCAGCGCCACACAGAUCACCGCGAAGGAGCUCACGCAGGUACCUGUAAGAACACCAUAAAACCUGGAAUUAAAGCUGCAGUUUGACGGGGCACACCUCAUCCUGAGAGAGAAAGGAGAAGAGAUUUGUUUCCUCUGACUCAGAGAAAAUAUUCCCUGAUCAGCACCUUCUCAACUCUGCCCCCACUGAUCCUGACUCAGCCCUGCACGGCAACCAAAGAGAAAAAAAAUCAGAUUCAUUUGUGAUGAGGCCGGGGGGCAGCAGAGAGAUCUGCAAUCCUUUGCUGCAUAAAAUGACCCAUCCUUUUUAAAGCUUGAUGAUGAUUUUCUUAUUUUUGUUCCACUACAUCAGCAAGGAGACCAAUUUACUGCGCUGCCUCCGAGCUUCUGUCUUCCUUCCGUCAAGGUAAUUCAGCUGCUACUAAACGGCUACAAACCCCGCAGGAGCCUCGCUUCUCACCCUCUCCCCGUUCUCAGCUGCAGAAAUUCCCUUCAGACCUUGUCCGGAGAGAUCUGAAAUGGGGUUUCAAGAUGCUUCAUCCUUCAGAUCCUGCACUUCAAAUCUGGAUUCAGGCUGGAGCUCUCUAUCAGAGAGCGUCACCCUGGGUUGUUUUUCUGCAGCCAACAACAAAAAAAACAGCCUCAGGCUGUCGGCUCCAGCUCGUUAUUGUAUCCUGGAAAACACAAGUGGCAUAAACCUGGCCUUGGAGCGUCCUGGAGGAGGCAGAGCUGGGGAUUAACGAGGCUAAGUUAUCAAUAUAAUCAUCAAUUAUGGAUCUCAGUGUGGAAGAUUGGAUGAAGUUCUUUUUCCAACUUGAUUUCGCAAUUGUAUAAUUUAUUGAGCUGCUCCCCUUCUCUCCGGCAAAUCCCUUCACGCCAAAUAAUGAAUUGAAAACUUUCUUGUACGACUUGGCUUCCCAUUUCUGCCUCAUGACUAAUUAACUUUGGGACCACACAGCCUAAUAGUAUCCUUAAUUCCUGCACUAAUAGAAAACGCAGUCAUUUUGCCCAACACGUGCAAUAAUUCUAUUUAUUUUAUCGCCUGGCUAUAAGCACUCAUUUAAAUUAAUAUCCAAUUCCUCGCAAAUGGUUCCCAGCGAGAAAAUCGCUGACUCGCAGCCAUUUGAUCUGCAAAAAAGUUCAUUAAAAUCCAACUCCUCCCCGGUGCUGCGCCCGCUCGCACUGCCACGUCUGCCCACGGAAUUUCAGCCUCCCACUAAAUCGCUGUUUCCUUGUCAACACGAUGCCAAAGGGACGCAAUUGGGCCCUGAUGAAGUUUCCUGCAGAAGAAACAAACAUGCACAGAUGUUCUGAUAUUUAUUUUGUUUGGUUUUUUUUCUUCUGGUGGGUCUUUCUUUACACCCCCUAAUUGUCUGAGAUCCUUUGGAGCACCUACAUAUUGUGGGCAUGGCUCUGGGGGUUUGGAAAAUAACAUGGAGAAUCAUUGGGAAAGUUUAUUAAGGUCGCUUGGAUCUUUCCUGGAGGAGAGAUUUCUCCUGCUGGGAUGUUCUUCUUGCUCUGGGACAUCCUUUGGAAAACUUAAAUAUGGUGUGUAUGGGCAUCGGGGGUUUGAAAGUAAUCCAGAUCUUAAGGUCAGGAAAGACUUUUAGGAUCGCUUGGAUCUUUCCUGGAGGAGGGAUUUCUUCUGUUGGGAUGCUCUUCUUGUUCUGGGACAUCCUUUGGGAAACUUAGACACUGUGUACAUUGAUAUG